ensembl:lncRNA
CUAGGAAGAAACCUAGAGAGGAACCAGGCUAUGUGGGGUGGCCAGUCCUCUUCUGGCUGUGCCGGGUGGAGAUUAUAACAGAACAUGGCCAAGAUGUUCAAAUGUUCAUAAAUGACCAGCAUGGUCGAAUAAUAAUAAGGCAGAACAGUUGAAACUGGAGCAGCAGCACAGUCAGGUGGAAGUUGAAACUGGAGCAGCAGCAUGGCCAGGUGGACUGGGGACAGCAAGGAGUCAUCAUGUCAGGUAGUCCUGGGGCAUGGUCCUAGGGCUCAGGUCCUCCGAGAGAGAGAAAGAAAGAGAGAAUUAGAGAGAGCAUA